CCCCGCCCGCAAGUGCCGUUGACAGAAUGCAGGCGGGAAGCUUCAGUUUGGGUAGAGAUGUAGCAUCAAACAUUCACGGAUGUCCAGGGAGCACGGGCACACAGGCUGCUGGCCAGAGGUACUAGGAAGGAGGCUGCUCACAGCGCUGCUGGACUCUUUAAGCCCUGAGGUCAUGUGAAAAGAAGUUUGCCCUGUGUCCUUCUGUCUCCUGUUGGCUGUCCACAAAAUGGAGAAGGCGGAAGCAACCUGAGGCGUCCUCUUUGUCUGUAAAGAUAGAGAGUCCAUUGUGGAAGGGGGAGAUACAGGAACUAUAUAGGCGAGGCUCUACCGGACUGCAUCUCUUAUCUCCAGAAUUCUUUUACAGAAAAGAAAAAAAUAAACUUUUAUCUGGCUUAAGCCACUACUGUUUCUGGGCUCUGUUACUAGCUGCCAAAUGCAAAUCUUAACUGAUAGAAAAGUCCUUGACGGAGU
rnacentral:lncRNA from 1 species